AGAACGAACGCUGGCGGCAUGCCUAACACAUGCAAGUCGAACGAUCUCUUCGGAGAUAGUGGCGCACGGGUGCGUAACGCGUGGGAAUCUGCCCUUGGGUUCGGAAUAACAGUUGGAAACGACUGCUAAUACCGGAUGAUGACGUUAAGUCCAAAGAGUUUAUCGCCCAGGGAUGAGCCCGCGUAGGAUUAGCUAGUUGGUGAGGUAAAGCUCACCAAGGCGACGAUCCUUAGCUGGUCUGAGAGGAUGAUCAGCCACACUGGGACUGAGACACGGCCCAGACUCCACGGGAGCAGCAGGUGGGAAUAUGGACAAGUGGGCGAAAGCCUAGGAUCCGAGACAAUCGACCGCGGUGAGUGAUGGAA
rnacentral:rRNA from 1 species